GCCCGCCUGGCAGGACUACUGAGCAAGGCCUUGGAAAAUCGGAGCGAUUAGAGCGUGUGGAAGAUGAUCAAAGUAUGACAUUUCUUCUACCCCAGAGGCUGGCAUUUCUGCAGGCACAAAUGAGCUUGGUUUUCAAGCACUGCUCUUUGAACACAAGGAAUUCCUUUAAUGAUCACGCCGGACUAUAUAGACUUUGGAAUCAGACUCUUUGAAUUCCAGCUCUGCCAUUUACCAACUUUGACACUUUGGACAACGUCUCAUUCUGUCACCCAGGCUGGAGUGCAGUGGCACAAUUAUAGCUCACUGCAGCCUCAAACACCUGGGCUCAAGCAAUCCUUCCACCUCUGCCUCCUGAGUAAUUGGGACUACAGGGAUGGGGAAUGACUAUCUCCAAUUAAACUUCUCAGUAAAA
rnacentral:lncRNA from 1 species